rnacentral:rRNA from 2 species
CAACUUUCAACAACGGAUCUCUUGGUUCUGGCAUCGAUGAAGAACGCAGCGAAAUGCGAUACGUAGUGUGAAUUGCAGAAUUCAGUGAAUCAUCGAAUCUUUGAACGCACAUUGCGCCCUUUGGUAUUCC